GACGAACGCUGGCGGCGUGCCUAAUACAUGCAAGUCGAACGAGAGCGACCGGUUCUUGCACUGGUCAAUCUAGUGGCGAACGGGUGAGUAACACGUGGGUAACCUGCCCAUCAGAGGGGGAUAACAUCCGGAAACGGAUGCUAAAACCGCAUAGGUCUUCGAGCCGCAUGGCUUGAAGAGGAAAAGAGGCGCAAGCUUCUGCUGAUGGAUGGACCCGCGGUGCAUUAGCUAGUUGGUGAGGUAACGGCUCACCAAGGCCGUGAUGCAUAGCCGACCUGAGAGGGUGAUCGGCCACAUUGGGACUGAGACACGGCCCAAACUCCUACGGGAGGCAGCAGUAGGGAAUCUUCCGCAAUGGACGCAAGUCUGACGGAGCAACGCCGCGUGAGUGAAGAAGGUUUUCGGAUCGUAAAACUCUGUUGUUAGAGAAGAACAAGUGCUAGAGUAACUGUUAGCGCCUUGACGGUAUCUAACCAGAAAGCCACGGCUAACUACGUG
rnacentral:rRNA from 1 species